rnacentral:rRNA from 1 species
UCACGCUGGCGGCGUGCCUAACACAUGCAAGUCGAACGAGAAAGUGGAGCAAUCCAUGUGUACAGUGGCGACCGGGUGAGUAACACGUGAUCAACCUACCCUCGAGUGGGGGAUAACUCCGGGAAACCGGAGCUAAUACCGCAUAACAUCUUCGGUCCACAUGAACUGAUGAUCAAAGGAGCAAUUCGCUUGAGGAGGGGGUCGCGGCUGAUUAGCUAGUUGGUAGGGUAAUGGCCUACCAAGGCUUAGAUCGGUAUCCGGCCUGAGAGGGCGCACGGACACACUGGAACUGAAACACGGUCCAGACUCCUACGGGAGGCAGCAGUGGGGAAUUUUGCGCAAUGGGGGAAACCCUGACGCAGCAACGCCGCGUGGAGGAUGAAGUCCCUUGGGACGUAAACUCCUUUCGACCGGGAAGAUACUGACGGUACCGGAUGAAGAAGCACCGGCUAACUCUGUGCCAGCAGCCGCGGUAAUACAGAGGGUGCGAGCGUUGUUCGGAAUUAUUGGGCGUAAAGGGCGCGUAGGCGGCGCGGUAAGUCACCUGUGAAAUCUCCUGGCUCAACUGGGAGCUUGCAGGCGAAACUGCCGUGCUGGAGUGUGGGAGAGGUGCGUGGAAUUCCUGGUGUAGCGGUGAAAUGCGUAGAUAUCAGGAGGAACACCUGUGGCGAAAGCGGCGCACUGGACC